CACUGUCAGCGAUCAUCUUUACAACAUAACAAAUGUUUAAUCAGCCAAUAUAUAUCUCCUCUGUUUGCUUUAAUGUCUGUACUGUCAGAUCACCUCCAGCAGGAUCAGCAGCAACGACAGCAACUGUUGCCUGUUCUGGGUUGCUGUUUGACAAACUCUCCACCAGAUCAUUCCUCCUCAUCCUCUUUAAAACCCUCUUGGCCACCUCCACGCACUGAUUGCUGUAAGUCUGCACCAUCAGAUCCACCGUGUCCGGCCUGUCUGCGCUCUCCAGUUGGCUCUUUGGGAUCGGUGGGAGGUCCUUGAGGAAGUCCGGCUGCUGCAGCUCUCGGUGUGCAGCCGUCUCUGUGAGCGUCUCCCUCUUAUUUCCUCGUAGCAGCAGCACUACAGCAGUCACAGAUCACCUCCAGUAGUAUCAGCAGCAACCAGAGCAGCAGCAGCAGCAACAUCCCCAGAAAUCCCUCAACAGCAACAGUUAAGUUAAGUAAGUUAUGUCAGCCCACCGUGUUUUAAAGCUAGAUCUGGGUAUUCUCU